CCCCCUAGGGCACGUGGCACCUCACUGGCAUCUCAUCACAGCCCCAGGCGAUAACAUUUCUGUGAUCCUGCAGCAUGCCUUGGGUUGUUACUUCUUUAAUUUUUAUUUUAUACUGGAGUCUUCCCAGGUAGUUCAGUGGUUUAAAAAAACCAAAAAAAAACCUGCCUGCCGAUGCAGGAGACGUACAUUUGAUCCCUGGGUUGGGAAGAUUCCCUGGAGGAAGAAGUGGCAACCCACUCCAGUCUCCUUGCUUGGAGAAUCCCAUGGACAGAAGAGCCUGUUCCCCAGCAAGGGACUGAACGUGUGCCUGAGAGGGUAACAGGCAGGAAGGCCAGAGGUUCCCAAGCAGCAGGAGGAAAUAAAUGGCAAGUGGCAGACGUCCUGCCUUGAGCUAACCAAUGUUUUUCUUGUGGAAAUGUUUUUUAAACUAUGUAUUUGCUUUAGAAUUUGCCUUUCUUCAAAAUGGUUCCACCCAAGACUAACUUUUUUUCUUUUCUCAAACCUUGGGCUGAUAAUGGCUCAACAAACCAGUAUUCCUAUCAAUUAUUUUAUGGCUGGGGGAGAGGUCUGGUGAAACUCCCUCAGCCUUGAGGUGUCUCUCUUAUCUGAUUAAUAGCUUUCUAACACACAUAAAAACUUGCUUGCUAAAAACUAGCAAGGGGGCACCCUUUCUGUUCCCAUCUGAUGUUGGCGUCAGAAGCUUUCCCUAUCUCUAUAUUUUAAUGAGACUUGGUUAUACAAAAAGUUCCCCAAGUAGUCAAGCCUCAUCUCUGACCCCAGAUUGAAAUCCUCUCCUCCAGAGGUCACAAAUCCCGGUGAAACACACAGCUCAAAGCAGCAACCUUUUAUGCCAUCAAUAGUGGAAGCAGUCGUAACCACUGGACCACCAAGGAACUCCGUCUGUUUUAAAUAUAGCAGAAUGUGCAUGUCAAUCCCAAACUCCCAGGCUAUCUCCUCUCCUUCCCCCAGUAGCCAUAGGUUUUUCUCUAAGUCUGAGUUUUGAAGUUCAUUUGUAUCAUUUAAAAAAAAUUCUACAUAUAAGUGAUAUCAUAUUUUUCUCUAUCAGACUUACUUCACUUAAUAUGAUAAU
ensembl:lncRNA